rfam:Picea glauca, whole genome shotgun sequence.
GUAUGUACAUUCCUACAAUGUUAAUGCAUUGGAUCCCAUCAUAACUCCGGAGUCAAGCGCGCUUCAGAUAGAGUAGUACUAGGAUGGGUGACCUCUUGGGAUGUCUUAGUGUUUUACAUACC